AAUCAACGCUGGCGGCGUGCCUCAGACAUGCAAGUCGAACGAUUAAAGCUCUCUUCGGAGAGUGCAUAGAGUGGCGCACGGGUGAGUAACACGUAAGUAAUCUACCUUCGAGUGGGGAAUAACGUCCGGAAACGGGCGCUAAUACCGCAUAAUGCAGCGGCAUCGCAAGAUGACAGUUGUUAAAGGAGCAAUCCGCUUGAAGAGGAGCUUGCGGCAGAUUAGCUAGUUGGUAGGGUAAUGGCCUACCAAGGCUACGAUCUGUAACCGGUCUUAGAGGACGGUCGGUCACACUGACACUGAAUAACGGGUCAGACUCCUACGGGAGGCAGCAGUCGGGAAUUUUGGGCAAUGGGGGAAACCCGUGACCCAGCAACGCCGCGUGAAGGAUGAAGUAUUUCGGUAUGUAAACUUCGAAAGAAUAGGAAGAAUUAAUGACGGUACUAUUUAUAAGGUCCGGCUAACUACGUG
rnacentral:rRNA from 1 species